rnacentral:lncRNA from 10 species
AUGUCUGAGCUUGGCUUAGGAAUAGGCUCAGAUCCGAGUAUGUGAUGAAUAGAUGUUCACCAAGACCAGUAGUUCUCAAACAGGUCGAGUUGUUUCCUUGAUGAAUCCCAAUGUGUCUACCGAGAUGUUCCAGUUGAAGAUCUAGUAAUUAAAGGUCUCUUUACACCAGAGCUAAGAUCACGAAUAAAGGAGCAGCUUUGGGUUUGCAGAGAUUACACAGGAAUGUAUGUUUCUGGCAGGUCAUUUGCCAUCUUUGCAAGGAGUGUACAUGGAUGUCAUCAUUACAAAGGAUGUGAGAGGAAAAAUUUAUUCAAGAAGCACUUAUUAAAAUUUCUUCCACUGUGCUGGAUCCUUAAUUUACAUACUUGUUUGUAGAUUCUGUUUCUCUUUAAGUAUUUUUUAAAAAUUCAUAUGGAAUAUUUCUUAUAAUCCCAAGUUUAUUGUUGUUAUGGUCAACCACUAAUUACUUGAAGAAUGUAAUAUAAAAUUGUUUAUCGUUUAUGAAGUCUCUUAGUUACCUUUUGAUACAGUUUGGCUGUGUACUCACCCAAGUCUCAUCUUGAAUUGUAGCUCUCAUAAUCCCCACGUGUUGUGGGAGGGACCUGAUGGGAGGUAAUUGAAUUAUAUGGGUGGGUUUUCCUAUGUUCUUGUGAUAGUGAAUAAGUCUCAUGAGAUCUGAUGGUUUUAUAAAGGGCAGUUCCCCUGCACAUACUCUCUUGCUUGCUGCCAUGUAAAUGUGCCUUUGUUCCUCCUUCACCUUCUGGGAUGAUUAUGGGGCCUCCUUAGCCAUGGGGACUGUGCCAUUAAACCUCUUUUUCUUUAUAAAUUACCCAGCCUUGGGUAUUUCUUCAUAGCAGUAUAAAAAUGGAUUAAUACAGUAAAUUGGUACUGGUAGAGUGGGGUACUGCUAUUAAGAUAUCUGAAAAUGUGGAAGCAACAUUGGAACUGGGUAACAGGCAGAGGUUAGAACAAUUUGGAGGGCUCAGAAGAAGAUAGGAAGAUGUGGGAAAGUUUGGAACUUCCUAGAGACUUGUUGAAUUGCUUUCACUAUAAUGCUGAUAGUAAUAUGGACAAUAAAAUCCAGGCUAAGGUGGUCUCAGAUUGAGAUGAGGAAUUUGUUGGAAACUGGAGUAAAGGUCACUCUUGCUAUGCAAAGAGAUGUACUGCAUUUU